UCGGCGUUGGAUCAGGCCAGCAUCGAUUGUUUGGAGGAGGUGGUUCUUUCUGGGAAGCAGAGACUGGUAUUUUGGUCCCGGCCACCACAGCUCUAUUGGAUCGAUCUCUUCUUCGUAUCAGUGAUCGUCUCCGGUGAUUGAAGGGUGCAGAGAGGAUGCGAUGUGCUUAUUUUAGAUAUUGGAUUGGGAAGUGCAGAGAAUCAAGCAAGGGUCAAGGAGUUGCUUCAUGUGGAGGAAUCAAAACUAGAGGAGGAUGAGGGAAAUACCACUCCAGCAGUGAGAUGGGUUCGAGAUGAUAAAUAUGAUUGCAUCCGAUUAAAGCAUUGCAAGGUUGUGACAAAAAUUGAUUGGCAUCGGAAAGGAGACUAUUUCACUACUGUCGUUCCUAGUGAUAUCCUAAUUAUGAAUUUUAGUUGUACUUAUUUUUAGUCAUUCCUAGUGCCUAUUUUAUAUCUCAGUUUUGUUUCUUUCUUUUUUCUAAUACACACUGACAAAUUGGAAAUAUAUAAAAAUCAUGACAUUAUACCUAGUUACCUAGCCUUUGAGGCUGGAAUCAGGAUGAAACCUAAAGUGCCCUGAAAAGUUUAGGCAUACCAAAUUCUCUCAGUUU